rnacentral:lncRNA from 1 species
CUCUUAUAUGAUGAAGUCCUUAGGACUUAUGUUAUGAUAAAGGAGGAUUUAUCUUUGAGUCCUUAAACUUAUUCGCGACCAAAUGAUAUGUUGUUAUUAGGACGACAAUAUUAUCGAGAUUAGGUCGUUGUGUGACAUAUACGUUGGUUGUCCUCUUAACCAAGGAGUGUGGAGACAUUGGUAUGCCACACAGGUGAAGUGUAGGAGUACAUUUCACUGAAC